rnacentral:rRNA from 1 species
UACGUAGGGUGCAAGCGUUGUCCGGAAUUAUUGGGCGUAAAGAGCUCGUAGGCGGUCUGUCGCGUCUGCUGUGAAAAUCCAGGGCUCAACCCUGGACCUGCAGUGGGUACGGGCAGACUAGAGUGCGGUAGGGGAGAUCGGAAUUCCUGGUGUAGCGGUGAAAUGCGCAGAUAUCAGGAGGAACACCGAUGGCGAAGGCAGGUCUCUGGGCAUUAACUGACGCUGAGGAGCGAAAGCAUGGGGAGCGAACAGG